CCAAUGAGUGAGCAGAGGGGUACAGGUGUUUGCAAUCAGGGAAAGGGUCAAUAAAUGCCCGGCAACUCCAACCUGCUGUUCUGGUUCUGCUGUGGGACAGGGAGCACCUGAGCUGAAGUUGAACCUAUGGAGGAGAGCCUAUCUGGAGGGCUAAGGGCUCUUCUAAGCAUUGCUACAGUGGUGUUCCUGUGCUGUAAGUUCCUGGAGCUGAAACUAGAGGAGCAGGCAGAGCCACCUCUCAGAGAGAGCCUGUAAUUGCAUUUUUGAUGACUCAAGGCUGGCGUUUGUCUUUUUUGUUGGAUGCUGGCAGAGCCUGGUUCUGCUCCUUGUGCUGUGUGGAUCAGCCAACGCUGGGAAAGAGGUGAAAUCAUCACAACAGCAUCAAUCUGCCUCAUGUGCCUGUGAAUUUAUGGACCACAGCAGUGUAAUGUCUCCUUCCUGAACCAAGUUUCUUCAUUCUAUCUGCAGUCUUAUUGCUCUUUUCUCACUUGUACAGUGUACCCAGCAAAGAGCUCCUCCAGCCUUCACUACGGUGUUGUGGCUAAGCUACAGAAGCCUUGAAAGGAGCUCGUGCUAUCAGCUGAAAAUGAGGUCUCGUUGGUGCUUCCUGAAGGAUGAAAACACCUCUCAGAAGGGUGUGAGCAACCCAGAUACACGGCUCCUUUGCACGCCACGCCAUCAGCACACAAGUUUUGAGGUCUGAUGGUAGAUGAGAGGAAAAUCCCCAGGCUGUUCCACAUAAUCUGGUUGGUGCUAAGUGCAACCUUGUGCCUCUGUGUCAGUUUGUGAUUGCAGCCUCCCACACAUUCCUUUGCAAGUUGGCUCCGUCGCAGCUUCUGCUGCUGCUUCAUGUACUUAGCAAAACAGACCUCGUGUAUGGAGUAACUGUGGACAAACAAGGAGACUUUGGAGGUGUAUUUGUGGUGAUGUGGCAGGAUGGGAUAGGAGGUUUUUAGCUCUUCUGUGAAGGUGUGUGGGGUUUCUAAUUGGGCUUUAUACUCAUUCAGACAGUUGAGGAUGGCUAUCCUGUAUGCUAU
ensembl:lncRNA